rnacentral:rRNA from 1 species
UACGUAGGGUGCAAGCGUUGUUCGGAAUUACUGGGCGUAAAGGGCGCGUAGGCGGCCUGCUAAGUCGGAUGUGAAAUCCCUCGGCUCAACCGAGGAACUGCAUCCGAUACUGGCGGGCUUGAAUCCGGGAGAGGGAUGUGGAAUUCCAGGUGUAGCGGUGAAAUGCGUAGAUAUCUGGAGGAACACCGGUGGCGAAGGCGGCAUCCUGGACCGGUAUUGACGCUGAGGCGCGAAAGCUAGGGGAGCAAACGGG